UUGACCUCGGAUCAGGUUAGAAUACCCGCUGAACUUAAGCAUAUCAAUAAGCNNNNNNNNNNNNNNNNNNNNNGAUUGCCUCAGUAACGGCGAGUGAAGCGGCAACAGCUCAAAUUUGAAAUCUGGCCCCAGGCCCGAGUUGUAAUUUGCAGAGGAUGCUUCCGGUGCGGCGCCGUCCAAGUCCCCUGGAACGGGGUGCCACAGAGGGUGAGAGCCCCGUCGGGUCGGCCGCCAAGCCUAUGUGAAGCUCCUUCGACGAGUCGAGUAGUUUGGGAAUGCUGCUCUAAAUGGGAGGUAGACCCCUUCUAAAGCUAAAUACCGGCCAGAGACCGAUAGCGCACAAGUAGAGUGAUCGAAAGAUGAAAAGCACUUUGAAAAGAGGGUUAAACAGUACGUGAAAUUGUUGAAAGGGAAGCGCUUGUGACCAGACGUGCGCCGGGCGUUCAGCGGGCGUUCUCGCCCGUGUACUCGCCCCGGCGCAGGCCAGCGUCGGUUCGGAUGGGUGGACAAAGGUGCUAGGAACGUGGCUCCCUCGGGAGUGUUAUAGCCUGGUGCGUCAUGCCCCCGUCCGGACCGAGGUUCGCGCUCUGCAAGGAC
rnacentral:rRNA from 1 species